GCCGCGGUAAUACGUAGGUGGCAAGCGUUGUCCGGAUUUACUGGGCGUAAAGGAUGCGUAGGCGGAUGUUUAAGUGAGAUGUGAAAUACCCGAGCUCAACUUGGGUGCUGCAUUUCAAACUGGAUAUCUAGAGUGCAGGAGAGGAAAGCGGAAUUCCUAGUGUAGCGGUGAAAUGCGUAGAGAUUAGGAAGAACACCAGUGGCGAAGGCGGCUUUCUGGACUGUAACUGACGCUGAGGCAUGAAAGCGUGGGGAGCAAACAGGAUUAGAUACCCUGGUAGUCCACGCCGUCAACGAUGAAUACUAGGUGUAGGAGGUAUCGACUCCUUCUGUGCCGCAGUUAACACAAUAAGUAUUCCGCCUGGGG
rnacentral:rRNA from 1 species